rnacentral:lncRNA from 1 species
AGCAGCUUCUUUUGUAUCUGAAUCUGCUCUUACUGAUACCUUCCUACGUAAGAUGCCAAAAGAUGCCUUAAUUUCUGAUGUUCUGAAAGAAUAAUCUUGAGGACAUCUGUGUGCUUAAUUGAUCAAGUAUAUUUUCUGGUCAUCUUGAACCUGGUUUUUUAUUGAUGUGAUAGAUAGUCUGUCAUGUGUGGGAGAUUUGUUGAUCCUCAAGACUUUCAUGUAAGUCGAAUUAAGGUGCUGCUUUUGCUUCAUAAUUACAGUUUCAGACAAGAUUAAUUUGACUCCAAAUUGGUAGGCAGAGAGUAUCUUGAACCGCACCGAAUAAAACUCUCACUUGGUGGCAAAGCAUACACUAGAAAUUAUGCCUUCCCGAGGAAACACAGUUUUUUUAAAAGUUCUAAAUAUCUAUUCAGCGUUCCUGCUAUCUCCUUCUGCAAUCUAUGAUGAAGUCUCAAACAGUAUUUUAAGUUGGUCUGGACUAUUUUGUAUGCUUUUCAUAACGAAUCAUUAAUUAAUUGAAUGGCAGCAUCAUGAAAUGUAAUCAUCAGGGGUGACUUGGCCCACCUCCUCGACUAUAGAUUCGAAAUGGGAGUUGUUUUAACAUUCAAUUCCCAGCAAAUUUCGUGGCAGGAACGUCUCGUGCAUGGCAGCUUCUUUUAUCUCUGAAUUGGAGGGCAGUAAAUAACAAAUGCCUUCAACCAUAAGAACCGGAAACAUAACUAUAUAUGCAUGUGGAAAUCCACAACAUCAAUGCCUUGGUACUUCAGUGUAUGUAAAACAUAUUUGGUGAUAAAUCGAAACAGAAACUUUCAGAUCAGAUAACCUGAAUCUCUUACUUGGAAAUUGUUUAAAAUUCCAUUUAAAUUGCAAGGCAAUGUUAUCUCCUCCAACUUGUCAUUUCCUAUUCUUAAUAAAUUUCUAGUUCAUUUACUGAGCACAAUUAGGUUUUUGAUAAGAAGGAAUUUCAAAACUGGAAAAUAAUCUGUGUUUUUCUGCCGUUUUUUAAAAACUUCACAGCCAAUACUGUGUAGUUAUUGUCCUGAAACUUCUCUGUAGUGCUACAGCCAGAAGGCCCAAAACACAAGAUAUAUUAUCUCUUCCCUUUCUAGUUAUUGUUGUCAACAAUACGAAGCUAUAACCCAAGCCUCAGGGGCUGGAAUCUUUACAUUGCUGCCAUACCAUUCAUUUACUUGUACCACUACCUGAGACAGAGAAUGCAGAAUGCAUGGGAUAUCGAGUUGUCUGUGUUAUAAGUACAUGGUCUUAUGACAGUCCGAAUAUAACUACUAUAUGGAUUUCUCUGUUUCAGUGAUUGAUCUCCCCAGAACAUCAUUGUGCUGCACGCUUCACAUCUUUGGUAGCUUCCUUUAUCGAUCUGCGAAAAACCCUUGGCCAAUAUUCCUUCAUCAGCAAAAACUUGAGAAUAGUUUUCAUUGGUGAUGGUUUUGGUUUUUUGUUUCUUGUGUGUGUGUGCAAAAUUUGGAAGCUAUGAGCAUAGGUACGUGAUUAAGAAUAGUAUAUUUAAGAUGUUGAAUGAAUAACCAUGGUAGAUGAGUCUAGUAAACAUAUCAUUAUACAAUAUAUUUCUAGUGGCUCAAUUUACACGUUCUCAUUGCAUAUACAUGCGCCAAGGUCUAGUGGAAAAUCCAGGGAAAUGAAUCUGCCUUUUCAGGUCUCGAGUAAAUAAUGUCUCUGGUCCUAGUCUAUAAAGAAGGCUGUUCACCAUGGAUCUUUCUCCAAGGCUGUUUCUGCUUUCAGGUUUCGAAUUUUGGUACGAUGCAUGACAAUUAAAGUAAGAAGCAAUUAGAUAAAGGAUUUCUGUCUUUAAAUUCCUGUUCCAUUCUUGAGGAUUGUAAAUGUUGGGGAAAUAGAAAGUACUAUUAAACAUUAAUUCGCAAUUAUGACUGAUAUUAUGAUUCCCCCAAUUCAUAGCAUGACCCUAGCUGUUAGAACAAUCUAUAGGUGUUUUUGUUGCAGGCUUCACGUCUCUUGGCAGCUUCUUUGAUUUCUGAAUCUGCUUUAACCGAUACCGUCAUCAUCCGUAAAGAGCCAAAAGAUACCUUCAUCUGCAAAGUUCCAAACCAAGAAUACUGAGAACAUCUUCGUUUGCGUUAUUGACUAUCUAGUAUAGGCAUUUGUUCAAUUCGGAACUAUAAUCCUGCCUUUGCUUAUAAUUCCUGAAUGAAUACAGUUGAAGAAUGGUUCUCUGUUGCAGGAAAAUGCAACUCAAAGGGUCUCCAUUUCAAACUAGGUCUGAAAUAUACAACAACACAUUUUUCAGGGAAUGAUAUUUUUCAUAAUUGAAAUUUGCGCAGAGUAUGAACUAAGCCUCUUCAGGGCCCAAAUCAAGGUAUCCAUUCCGAAUCUCAGGCCAAAACAGAAGAAUAUUUUGACUUCAUAUUGGAUGCGAGCUGGGGUGGCUGAAUUCUCGAUCAUAACGAGAAGUUAAAAAAUCAAAUAGUUGCACACUUUGGAACACACAAGGAACAAACCAGUUUGAGGAAGGAUUGAAGCAGGUGCUAGAUUGAUACACAGUAGUAGUGUGUGUCAGCUUCUGGAAUUUGUCUAUUUUUGUGCUUCUGGUAAUGAAAUUGAACUGCACGGUGAAAUGGUUUCUCUGCAGCACCACCUGUAAUCAUCAUGUUCACCUGUAAUCAUCCAUGCCAUUCAAGCAACUACAGGAUGCAAAAUGGUCGCUCCGCCUUUUGAUCUCCUGUAUUUUAAUUUCUGGCGUUGAGGGCUUCAUAUCUCUGAAUUGGAAGUGAGUCACUAAGCAAUGCUUCACCCGUACAAACCUGAAACAAGAACUUUAGAUCUUACAAGUUAACUGUUUUUUUUUUUUUAACUCGAGUUUUUUUUUUUUUAUGAUUUAACUUUGGGUUUUGUUUUUGUUUUUUUUUAAUUAAUUGUUUUAUUUUGGUCUCAUAUUACGUGUUAGUGGUUAGUUAAGAUAACCCGGAUUAACUUGCGUUUUUUUCCCAACGUAUCCUUUCUUGAAGUUGAUGUUUUUUUUUUCCUUUCAUUUUUAUCUUUUAGGAUUUAGUUAUUAGGCUCUUUGUGAAUUUUUUUGCUUUUUUUUUUUAUGUGGAAUUACCAUAAGUUGCAGGUUAGUCAAGUUAACUCAAGUAAAAUUUAGUUUUUUAUUUUAUUUUAUUUUUUAUUUUUUAUUUUUUAUCUUACGUCUUUUUUUUCUAGGCCUUUUAAAAAAAUAGUUUUUUUUUCAUAUUGUGGAUCGUGUGGUAGUCGAGUUAACUUGGUUUUUUUAUGUUUAUAUUUUUUUAAAUUAUUAUUUUUUAUUUCAUCCUUUAACAUUACAUUAUUGGGCCUUGAGCUUUGUGAUUCUUUUCGCUUUUAUUUUUGUUGGGUUAUCCCGAAUCACAAGUUAAUCAAGUUAAUCGGGUUGACUUGACUUUUUUUUCAAUGUUUUUUUAUUGAUUUAACUUCAGUCUUUCUAAAAGCAUUUUUUUUAUCUCGGAAUUGCAUAAAGGGUGGUAGAUUUGUCAAGUUAACCAAGUUGACUUAAGUUCUUAUCCAUCGGUUAGAUAACUUUUUUUUAUAUUGGAAAAACAUUAACUCAACUUGUAGGGUAGCAUGAGCCACCCAUCUAGUAUAAAACUAAAGAAAGAGAGGGUUUCAUUGUAUUCCUCCUGGCAUAAGACUAUUCACUUUAAUAUUGUUUUUUUUUUUACUUUCAUAGUUUUUCCUUUUGAUCUAUAUUUUUUUUCAUUUUCAAUUUCAUCAUUUAAUGUUAGGUUUAUCGUGGAUUAUGCUUCAUAUUUUAUUUUAAUUUACUUUUUAUGAGAUUAUCCUAAAUUUAUGACUCGAAUUGCAAGUUUGAUAUAGUAACUCAUUUGACUCAAAUUUUUUUCCUAUUUUCCUAGGAUUUUUUUUUUUUAUCUUAAAUUUGUCUUUCAAAACUAGGUUGAUUGGGAAUUAGGAUUCGUUAUUUAUUUUGUUCCACUUUCUAUGAGGUUAUCCUCAUUUUAUAACUUGGGUCACGGGUUUAGCAGGUUAACCUUGGUUGACCUGAGUUAUUUUUUGUGUUUUUUUUUAAUUGAUUUUUUUUCAAUUUCAUCUUUUAAUAUUGAGUUGAUUUAAAAUUGAACUCAAUAAUUUAUUUUGAUUUGCUUUCUAUUAUGUUAUCCUGGUUCAUGACGUGAGUCACAGGUUUGUCAGGUUAACCAAAGUUCACCCAAAUCAUUUUUUUUAUUUUUUAAUUAAUUGUUUUUAAGUUUCAUCCUUUAAUAUUGAGUUUAUUGAAAAUUAAACUUUCUAAUUUGUUUUGAUUUAUUGUUCAUGGUGUUAUCAUGAUCUCAUGACUUAGUAUAUGAGUUGAUAGGUUAACUCGAGAUGACUCGAAUCGAUUUAAUAUAUUGUUCUCUCGAUGUUUAUUAAAAACAUAUCACUUUAAAUAUUUAUUUUGAAUCAAAUUAUAUUUUUAUCGGUUUUUUGAAUUGUAUUUAGACUCGUCAAGACGACCAAGUCACUUUAGAUCAAUCUCCAAACAAUUUUUUUUUUGCUACUAGAAAAAAUUUAAUCUGACUCGCAGUGUAAAGCAGGGCAAUUAUCUAGUAAUAUUUAAAAUACAUCCUUAAUUAAUCUAAUCUAAGAAAAAAAAUAUAUUUUUUAAUAUACUAAAUAUAUUUUAAAUAAUUUUAUCUUCAACAAGUUAGAUAUAAGGUGUUGGAAAAAGAUUUUUUUUUUAAAAAAAAAAAGAAAAGAAAAAGGCCAAGGGAGCAAACGAGCAUGGAAGAUUGAGCAUGUCAAUGCCAUGAAAAAAAAAAAUGGCGCAUGGGCUUUGCCAAUACAAGCUUGUGUGUUUGAUUUUUUUUAUUUUUUUGGAGUUGACAAGGUCAAAUUUAUGUUAUUUUUAAAGGAUGCAAUCAUGUUGUCUAAAGGUCAAAUUCAGGUUAUGCAAGGUGAUUUAAAAAAACAUGGGAGAUUUUUUUUAUAUAAAAAAACUUAAUUUUUCAUUCAUUUUUAUUUGAAAAUACCUUAAAAAACAUUCUUUAAACCUUAAAUAAUUAAUUCCUCAAUUCAAGAUUUCUCAAAUUGAUUUAAAAACACAAAAUUAAAUGAAACAUAAAAAACCUCAGACAACCCUAAUUUAUUUUUUUUAGGUGAUAAGAAAACACUACAAUGAAACCCCCUUGCAAGUGAAAAAUUUUAGUUUUCUCACCAUUCCACUUGGGUAUUUGAUGAAUGAAAAGCAUGGUGGACAAUCAAAAGGAAGCAUCCACCACCUAUAUGACAGUGUCAUUGAUCUCGAUGCUACGAAAUACCUGAAGUCGAAUGACAUUAAAGAGAUUCUUCUAAAUCCUAAGAUUGCACCUGGUUCUGGCUAUAAGAACCAGCCACUAGGUGUUAAGGAAGCUGUUGAUAACCAGCAGUACUACUAUGAUUGGAAUUCUUCCAAUCCACUAAGAACUGAAAACAAAAGUCCUCGCGGUCAAAUGAUUGGAAUUCUUCCAAUCCCACUUUUAACUAUGAUGGAUCCCAAAUCACCCUUCGAAGAGGGUACAGGAGGUGGUGGAUUUUUGCUAGAUCCUGCAAUGUUCACAGUAAGUGACGAUCUUGUUGUUACACCAAUAUCGCCUGUCUCAGAACUAUCUUUACUGGAAAAAUUGAAGAUAUCUUUUAAUGACAUCUAUGUCUGCGAGGUUCAAGUUGGCAGAGAAGAGGUCAGUCAAACUAACUAAUUUCUGCACUCUUUUAUUAUCCAUGAUAUUUAAUAUUUAAUUAUAAAGCUUUUAAGAAAAAUCAUGCCUGUCAACUUCAUGCUUAUGUCUUAGUUAAUUUUGUCUUGAUCAGAACUGUAAGAUUAUUUAUUUUUUAUUCUAUUUAUUCAACCAAACAGAUUUAUAGGAUAGAAGUGGCAUAAAAACUAUUUUACCUGUUCUUCUAAGAUCCUUUUUUUGUUAAUGUCAUUUGUUAAAAUUCGCAUCAUAUAUAACAGUCUUCAAACAGGAAUAUUGGUGUGAUGGACAUUUUCUUUUUCUGCUGCAGGCUUCCCGUCUCUUAGCAGCUUCUUUUGUAUCUGAAUCUGCUCUUACUGAUACCUUCAUACGUAAGAUGCCAAAAGAUGCCUUAAUUUCCGAUGUUCUGAAAGAAUAAUCUUGAGGACAUCUGUGUGCUUAAUUUAUCAAGUAUAUUUUCUGGUCAUCUUGAACCUGGUUUUUUAUUAAUGUGAUAGAUAGUCUGUCAUGUGUGGGAGAAUUAUUGAUUCUCAAGACUUUCAUGUAAGUCGAAUUAAGGUGCUGCUUUUGCUUCAUAAUUGCCUGGAAACACAAUUUAGAAAGGGCUUACAGUUUCAGACAAGAUUAAUUUGACUCCAAAUUGGUAGGCAGAGAGUAUCUGAACCACACCGAAUAAAACUCUCACUUGGUGGCAAAGCAUGCUAAUUUCUUGUUUGUAACGUCUCGUGCAUGUUGCUUCUUUUAUCUCUGAAUUGGAGGUCAGUCAAUAACAAAUGCCUUCAGCCAUAAAAAACUGGAAACGAGAAUACUUGGAUCUUCAUAGAUAUUCUCCCCUUUUCUUCUUUUUUCCGAUGAAUGAGUAAAAGGAGUCUUAUAAGCAAAACUAAACUGUACCUGUGGAAAUCUACAACAUCGAUGCCUUGGUACUUCAGUGUAUGUAAAACAUAUUUGGUGAUAAAUGGAAACAGAAACUUUCAGAUCAGAUAACCUGAAUCUCUUACUUGGAAAUUGUUUAAAAUUCUGAAGAAUUUUGAAGCAGAGAAGAGACGUGAGACAAUGCAGUAAAACAGAGUUCUGCAUUAUAUUUUCUUAUGCUGUACAUAUGCAUAUAUAUUUAUAUAUAUAUAAAAGGAAAAACUUGCAGCAAGGAAAGACAAUCCUGCGUAUCCUUUCUCCUAACAGUAUGCUAAUAUUAUAUGUUAAUAAUAAAUACACAAUCAUAUCUAAACUAGGUGACAAAUAAGUUAUACUUGGUAAUAGCAUAAUAAUGAAGAUCUUCAUCGCUUCAGUAUCUUCAAUACCCCCCUCAAUCUGGAUCCAGUGGAUUGGUGGAUCCAAGCUUGCUUAAUAACCGAUGAAAUUGAGUGGAAGGUAAGGCUUUGGUAAGCACAUCAGCUAGUUGAUCAUGAGAUCAUACAUACUGAGGAUGGAUAAGUUUAGCUUGAACUUGCUAAUGAAUGUAAUGACAAUCUACUUCAAUAAUCUGUGUUUUUCUACUGUUUUUGAAAAACUUCGCAGCCAAUACUGUCUAGUUAUUGUCCUGAAACUUCUCUGUAGUGCUACAGCCAGAACACAAGAUAUAUUAUCUCUUCCCUUUCUAGUUAUUGUUGUCAACAAUACGAAGCUAUAACCCAAGCCCAGGGGCUAGAAACUUUACAUUGCUGCCAUACCAUUCAUUUACUUGUACCACUGCCUCAGACAGAGAAUGCAGAAUGCAUGGGGUAUCGAGUUGUCUGUGUUAUAAGUACAUGGUUUUAUGACAAUCCGAAUAUAACUACGAUAUGGAUUUCUCUGUUUCAGUGAUUGAUCUCCCCAGAACAUCAUUGUGUUGCACGCUUCACAUCUUUGGUAGCUUCCUUUAUCGAUAUGCGAAUAACCCUUAGCCAAUAUUCCUUCAUCAGCAAAAACUUGAGAAUAUUGCCGGACUGCUAUAGUGUCCACACCAUCAUCAAAGCUCAUGACUUUCACUAGCCUGCAUUCCACCACCACCACUUGUUUAUCUAUACGGCAAAGUAAGAAGAAUCUGUGUAUUUCUUUAACGUGUUAAGACUGAUAAGGAUGUACAUGUUUCUGUGAUAAGUAUAUCCAAUUCCUCUAGUUUAUCCCUUUUUCUUUUUCCUGUCUACUUCUGCGGGCUUUCCGUCUUAUGGGAACAAUCAUCCAUCUCAUCAGUAAUCUGUCACCGACAAAUGGGAUUGGUUGCAUGAACAACUUAUAUAAAAGUGUUGAAAAUACAGAUGCUAUGUAUUUCCGGAACAUCCUCAUAAUGCCGCUGCAGCUUAUUGUAAGAGCCUAAAACUGAAAAUUGAUGACAUUGACACUUCAAGUUUUUUUUGUUGCUAGAGUUCCGAAUGUUCUACUUCUGGCUACAAGUUGUGGAGUCAUUACAAAAAUCUCUAUUGUGGUUGUGGACGUCCCAUGAGCCAUAAUUUGAAUCUAUCAUGGCGCCGGGCUCCAUCCAAUAAUGGAUCUGACGCAAGAAAUCGAGGGGUGUUUGUUGAAGGGCUGACCCGAUUUAUUGUAAGUGAUUAUUUUCAAGUGAUGCCAGCAUCAAUUUCAGCAAGCAUUGCUCUUCUUACAAAGCUUGGAGUCAUGGAUACAAGUAACAUCGAGGAGAGGAUUUUUGACAUUGGAGUAACACAGGUAUGAUCUAAUAAAUGAGCUGUUGUAGUAUUGUCUAGCCUUGUGCUAUGUACAGAAGUACCAAUUUUAAUGUCUUUGUUUUAGGACUUGGAAUUGCUGGAGUGCUCAUUGGCAUCAAGGACACCUCUGACCGAAGUUUUGCUUUCUCGUAAGGAAGUUCCUAAGUUAAGAAAUGCAGAUUCCCUUCUAAGAACCUCUCUUAUGCAUGAAAUACUAGAGCAUCAAUCAGAAAGAAAUGGUGAGACGUCUGUUAGGCUUGUGGUUUGCAAAUCCAAGAAAGUGGUUUGUUACGCAGAAGCAUCAAAAGAUUUUGUUGAUUUACUUUUUAGUUUUCUCACCAUUCCACUUGGGUAUUUGAUGAAUGAAAAGCAUGGUGGACAAUCAAAAGGAUGCAUCCACCACCUAUAUGACAGUGUCAUUGAUCUCGAUGCACCGAAAUACCUGAAGUCAAAUGACAUUAAAGAGAUUCUUCUAAAUCCUAAGAUUGCACCUGGUUCUGGCUAUAAGAACCAGCCGCUAGGUGUUAAGGAAGCUGUUGAUAACCAGCAGUACUACUAUACUCGGCGUUCUAAUCUGAAUGUAAUAGUAACUGAAAGCAAAAGUCCUUUAUACACUUUUAACUAUAAUGGAUCCCAAAUCACCCUACAAAGAGGGCAUAGAAGGUGAUGGAUUUUUGCUAGAUCCUGCAAUGUUCACAAUAAGUGACGAUCUUGUUGUUACACCAAUAUCGCCUGUCUCAGAACUAUCUUUACUGGAAAAAUUGAAGAUAUCUUUUAAUGACAUCUAUGUCUGCGAGGUUCAAGUUGGCAGAGAAGAGGUCAGUCAAACUAACUAAUUUCUGCACUCUCUUAUUAUCCAUGAUAAUUAAUAUUAAUUAUAAAGCUCUUAAGAAAAAUCAUGCCCGUCAACUUCAUGCUUAUGUUUUUGUUAAUUUUGUCUUCAGAACUGUAGGUUUAUUUAUUUUUUAUUCUAUUUAUUCAACCAUACAGAUUUAUAGGAUAGCAGUGGCAUUAAAACUAUUUUGCCUGUUCUUCUAACAUCCUUUUUUGUUAAUGGCAUUUGUUAAAAUUCGCAUCAUAACAGUCUCUUCAAACAGAAACAAACCGAGAGGGAGUAGAGAGAAUUUGAAAAACAGAGCACGGGAUAAUUUUCAGACUAGGGUAGAGGAAACAGAGGGCAGUAAGGCGGAGGUCGAAGGAGAAAUUCUAGCUUACUAUUCACGGACGCCACCACUGAUCAUCGCCCGACACGUUGACACUUCGGCGAAGCAACCUGCAACAAGGUAAGCUUCCUCUGUUUUCUUCGUUCUUUAAUUCUCGAAAGUUCAAUGCAUUUAGCACUGUGCGAAGGUAAUUAAUCGCACAGCGCCAUGCACGCAUGACGCUGGGUCAUGCGUGCUGUGACAGUCGGGUCACUGGCUUGGGUGAGUGACUGGGCUGGGCCAGCUGGGUCUAGCCUAGCCCAUAUGGGUUGAGUUGGGCCCAGCCCAAAAAACACAAAUAAUAAAAAUAAAGAAAUAACAUAAAUAAAAAAAAUAGGAGAAAUAGAAAAAUAUGUAUAUGCAUGAAUAAAAAUAAUAUAAAUUUAUUGGUUGAUUCACCAAUGCCAAAGUCGGGAAUAGAAUAUUGGUUUAAGUUUAUAUUAUUUUUAUUCGUUAUAUUUUAUUUUAUUUAGCAAGAAAAAAUAUAUGUGCAUGUAUGAAAAAUAAAUUUAUUUAUUCACUGACGCCUUAGUCAUGAAUAAAAACACUGAUUUAAUUGAUUUUUUUUGUUUUUUUUAUUUAACUACAUAAGAAAUAGGAAAAUAUGUGAACGCGUAAUAAAAUGAAUUUAGUUUAUUUGUUUAUUCACUAGCGUUAGAGUUAGGAAUAAAAAAUAUUAAUCUAAAUUUAUUUUAUAGCUACGUAAUAAUUAUCAAUGCCAGAGUUGGAAUUAUCCGUAGUUGAAUAUUCACUGACGCCAGAGUCAUGAAUAUUGUGAAUAAAUCAUUAGAACGUAAACCAAUAAAAAUUUAGCAAUUUAAGACAAAAAAAAAAAAAACAAUGUAGUUUGCUUUAGGCAGAACGUUUAAGGGGUGAUAAUAUCUUUCCUUUUACGUAACCAAUCCCGAACCAUAGAAUCUCUGUUGACCAGUUAGGGUUUCGAGUGACCAUAAUACUAGGUGGUGACUCCUCAAACAAGACCUUUUUUUCUAAAAGAACAAGAUGCUAGAAAUCUGUUCUUUUUCCAUAUUCGAGAAUUAAUUUUUAGAGCCGCCGCGAUGUCGGGUGCAACAAUAAUUUUAAUUUUAAUUUUACCCUUCAAAUCAAAUCUAUGUUUUUUUCAAUAGUAAUAAUAUUUUUUUAAAAAAAAUUAUUAAUAAUUAUAUUAAUAAUAAUGAAAAUAAUAAUAUUUAUAAUAUUAAUAAUAAUAUUAAACAGAUCUAGCUCAAGUUCUUAAUUUUUUUAAUUUUACCAUUCAAAUCAAAUCUAUGGUUUUCUUCAAUAGUAAUAAUAUUUUUUAAAAAAUUUAAUAACAAUAACAAUAAUAACAAUAACAACAAUAAUAAAACUCACAUUCAUUGGGUAUGACAUCGCCUGCCAGACCGACCCAAGUAGCUUGGGUCUAACGCCUCUACCAGACUCAAGUUAUUUGGGUCUAUUGGUACUAUACCCAAAUUCUUUGGUUAUGGCAUCCCCUCCCAGACUCAAGAUGUCUAAGUUUGACAACAUUUCCAGACCCAAGAUACUGUGGUCUAACAAUCAUGCCUGACCCGAGCGCUUAGGGUCUAGUUACGUUGUUAGACUCGAGCGUCUGAGGUCUGGUAGACAUGCUUGACCCCAGUGCAAGGUUUCUUGCAACCAUGUCAUUUCCUAGCAUCUUAGAAAAACCCCAAACAAAUUAUUUUGUCCCCAAUUAUUUUUUUAAUGUCAAAUAUAUCUCAUAAAAAAGACAAUCUCAUCCUCAACUACAUGUUUAUCAAGUUUUUUUUGGCAAUGAUAAUUACAUCAUUAUACUGAUUUAGUUCAUAGUGAUCUAUCUUGAUGAAUAGUUAAACACUAAUUUCUUUUAAUAUAUUGUAUAAUAUUUAUAGUAUCAAAAAAAAAAAAAUACAAGGAGAAUAGUUAAAUACGAGAAAUAAUUAAAAAAACAUGAAAGUAUUUUUGUCAUUAUUUCGCGGAUCCUAUUGUUAUACUCUCUCUUUUCACUACUUCCAUCCCUUUUCUAGUUAUUACAGUUAUAAAUUUUUCCAUGUUUCCAUGGCCUGACGACGUUUACUACGAGGUGAAAAUAGCGAGGCUGAAACUUCAUGGGAGCAAGUGUUAAGUGGUAUGCUUUAAGGGUUCAAAAUUAUUUACGACUGUAAUCUCGCAAAUCAUGUUUGGCUGCAUUUAUGACAAAAGGGUAAAAACACGAAAAUACUUGAAUUUAUCAAUCAUUAUUAACAGAAAUUAAGCCUUUUGUUAUUUUCACUAUAGCUGAAAUUAUUCUUUAUUCUCUUAUAAAUAAUUAUAGAUUGAAAUUGUAUUUUUUUAAAAUUUUAUUCAAUUUGAUUCUCAAACAUUUUUUUUACAUGAUUGAGCUCUUUUAAACUUGAAUUAGCAUCCAAUUACAUGUUUUUUUAAUAGGAUAUAGAUUGACAGAUAGAAAACCAAAGUGAAAAGGACACGAAAAAUAGAUAGCUACUUUGAAUUUUAUACAAAAAGUUUAUUUUGGUCCCUAUAUUUUUUAUUUUACAAGUGGCUGAUCCCUUUAGUUUUUAGGAAUUUAAUUUUGGUAUCAAAGUUAAUUUUCCUAAAUUUUUAGUUCUUUUUUACAUGAGGAGAAAGAGAUGGCCACUUGAUUCUUGCAAUGAGAGAAAAAGUGAUUGUUGACAACAAUAUAACCAUCAAAAUGAUUGAAAUUGGUGUCAAUGAGUUACAUUUUCAUUUCAUUUGAAGAGUUUUACCCAAAUAUUUUUUUUCCUCUCCUUACUCGAUGAGAUAGAUUUGAUCGUGAGAAUGUUUUUAGAUUCGGGUUGAUUUUGGUUAUUUGAGCUGUCUUUUGGGUUUUAAAAGGAUAUGGAUAAGAUUAUCAAGGUGUUUAUUAUGUUUCCUGUGUUUUUUUGUAAAAAAUAUGUUGAAAAUUGAGUUUUCAAAUAUAAAAAACCAACAAUCGGUUUUUUCAGCCUUCUCUGGUCUCCAGAUUCUGCACAAAUCAGACAACGUGUUGUCUUCUAUUUUAUUUUAAAAAAAAAUUAAAAAAAUAAAACUAGGUCCAAGAGCCCGAGCUAGAAGGCUCAUAUGCCUGGGCUAAUGUUUUUUUUACCAAUGUGUCGUGGCUUAAAAAAAAAAAAGUUUUGUUAUUUUCUAUCUGCUUUAAAAAAUAAUAAUAAAAAAAAUUAUUGAAUUUAAUUGAGAUCAUAAAUUGGGUUGCAUGUUACAUGGUUCAUUUGCAACAUUCUAUCUUUUUUUUUGUACCAUAAUUUAAAAAAAAUAAUAAUUUCACCUUUUAUUAUUGAUAAUCUAUUUUUUUUAUUUAGCUCAAAACUAAAAAAAUAUAAUUUCAUCAUUUGUUAUCAAUGAUCUACUUUUGCUAUCUCAGUAACACACGUCUAACAUGAUUAUUUUCCUAUUAAAAAAAUAUUUUAUAUGAAAAAAUUCUCAUGUGCUUUAUUGUCGUACAAUUAAAUGAAAAUAAUAUUUGGUGUAAAAAAAUUAUUGAAUCUAAUGGCAUACAUGAUUUGCAUCAUGAGUUUGCUUGAUUGACUCGAGUUUACUUAGUAUUUUUUUUAGUUAAGUGAUAUGUUUUACUAUUUUUAUUUUUUAAUAUUGAGUUAAUUGGAGGUUGAGUUUUUCAUUUUGUUUUUUUUAAGAUUAUUCCUGUAACUCUUGCAUGUCAACUGAUGUUAAUGCAAUGUAUUUCUAUCUUAAUAUUAAAUAAAAAUAUAGUUCAAUGUAUAAUUAAAAUCUAUUUCUUUAGAAAAUACAUUACCAAUAUCUAGUUUUUUUUUAUUGGGUUAAAGUUUUUUUUCCCCCACCCGCGACGGUGCACGGGUUAAAAAACCAACGCAAAUUAUUUUGUGUUGAAAGAAAAAAAGACAUAAUUUAUGGGGCGCUGGCCUUCUACAAAAACUUUAGCUUGCAGCUUCUUUUCGCAUCUCAUUCAUUUAUUUUUACGAGAAAGACUUGUAGAAAAUGAAAUUUGGAAAUUAGUGGAAGUUUAUCAGUACUAUCAAAUGAGAUUAAAACAUGCCACAUGUGGAGAAGAUGAAGCGAUAAUUAAUUAAUUACCCAAGAACUAUACGAGUUUGAUUGUCCAGUACAUUUCAAGAAACAUGAAAACAACCGUGUGCUGAGAGUUCCAUUGGUCAUCACCAUGGCUAGAUAACUGAGCAAAAGGGAGAGGGGAGAGAAUGGGCUUCGGUCUUUAACUCUCAACAAAGUCACAAGAUUCGACUCAUCGUGUUACUGAUUAUCAAAUUAAAAAAUAAAACAAAAUCAUUCGUCAACACAGAACAUUCUUAAUCCACACUACGACAAUGAAUCAUAAGGAACUCUCGCUCUGCACUGCAUCACAAUAGCCUUUUUAAACUGCAAAAUGAAAUCCUGAAGUGUCUGGUUUGAAUCACCAGGAUGUCAAACCCAACUAUAAAUCUAAAAAAGGGGUUUUAGCUUUAUAUCACUUGUUAAUAUCCGGUGGAUUUGUGUUUUUGUUGCAGGCUUCCCGUCUCUUGGCAGCUUCUUUGAUUUCUGAAUCAGCUUUAACCGACACCGUCAUCCGUAAAGAGCCAAAAGAUACCUUCAUUUGCAGAGUUACAAACCAAGAAUACUGAGAACAUCUUCGUUUGCGUAAUUGGACAUAAAUGAUGUUCCGGUCAUCUUCAACGUCUUCCAAUCAAUGUGAUAAUCCACCUUUCAUAGCUUUGUAUUGACCCAUGACAUGCCUUGUAUAGGUGGUUCCGUUAGUCUUAUUGACUAUCUAGUACAAGACAUUUGUUCGACUAGGAACUAUAAUCGUGCAUUGCUUCAGAAUUCCUGGAUGAAUGCAGUUGAAGAAUGGCUCGCUGUUGUUUUCUCUAUUCGACUCAUUCUGGCGUCAGAAGUUGCAGAAAAAUGCAACUCAAAAGGGUCUCCCAUUUCAAACUAGGUCUGAAAUAUACAACAAUACAUUUUUCAGGAAAUGACAUUUUCCAUAAUCGAAAUUUGCACAGAGUAUGAACUAGGCCUCUUCAGGGCCUAAAUCAAGGUAUCCAUUCUGAAUCUCAGGCCAAAACAAAAGAAUAUUUUGACUUCAUAUUGGAUGCUGGGGUGGGUGAACUCUAGUAACUAUAAGUUAUACAAUCAAAUAGUUGCACACUUUGGAACACACAAGGAACAAACCAGUUUAAGGAAGGAUUGAAGCAGGUGCUAGAUUGAUACACAGUAGUAGUGUGUCAGCUUCUGGAAUUUGUCUAUUUUUGUGCUUCUUGUGAUGAAAUUGAACUGCACGGUGUAAUGGUUUCUCUGCAGAACCACCUGUAAUCAUCAGGCUCACCUGUAAUCAGCCAUGCCAGUCAAGCAACUACAGGGUGCAAAAUGGUCGCUCCACCUUUUGAUGUCCUGUAUAUUAAUUUCUUGCGUUGCAGGCUUCAUAUCUCUGAAUUGGCAAUGAAUCACUAAGCAAUGCUUCACUCCUACAAACCUGAUAACUUUAGAUCUUAUAAGUUAACUUCUUCUUUUUAACUAGAGUUCUUUUAUGUUUUUUUUAAUGAUUUAACUUUGGUUUUUUUUUUUUUCUAGGUUUUUUUUUUAAAUAUUUUUUUUAUUUUGGUUUCAUAUUGCAUGUUGCGGGUUAAUCAAGAUAACUCAGAUUGACUUGAACUUUUUUCCCUAACGUAUCCCUUAUUAAAAUUGAUUUUUUUUUAAAUAUUUUUUAUAUUCAUUUAUUUUCAUUAAUAUUUAAAAUAAUCUUUAAUUAAUCUAAUCUAAGAAAAAAAUAUAUUUUAAAUAUACUAAACAUAUUUUAAAUAAUUUCAUCUUCAACAAGUUAUUAGAUAUAUAUAAGGUGUUGGAAAAAGAUUUUUUUAUACAAAAGACUAAUGGAGCAAGCAAGCUUGGAAGACUGAGCAUGUCAAUGCCAUGAAAAAAAAAAAAAAAAAGGCUAAUGAGCUUUGCUAGUUCAAGCUUGUGUAUUUGAUUUUUUUUAUUAUUUUUGAAGUUAACAAGGUUAUCUUUUAAUUUAUUUUUUAAAGAUGCAAACAUGUUGUCUAAAAGGUUAAAUUUGGUUAUGCAAGGUGAUUAAAAAAACAUGGUAAACUUUAUAUAUAUAUAUAUAUAUAUAUAUAUAUAUAACUUGAUUUUCUAUUCAUUUUUAUUUGAAAAAACCUAAAAAACACUCUUUAAAUCUCAAAUAAUUAAUUUCUCAAUUUAAAAACUCUCAAAUUGAUUUAAAAACACAAAAUUAAACUUAACAUAAAAAACCUCACUCAACUUUGAUUUUUUUUAGGUGAUAUGAAAGAUAAAAAAAAACAAUACAAUAAAACCCCCUUGCUGGUGGAAAACUUUGACACCAAGUCUAGCCAUUUUUUCCAACAAAAUUGGACCACCCAAUAUCCUUUUCUCUUUUGUUCUUUUAUGGCUAUGGUCUCUCUUCUCUCUCAAGCUAAUGGAUCAAAACAUGAAAAAAAAUGAAGCACCGGACCAAAGUGUAAGAACUUAGAAAUAGAGAUCAAGAUGAAAAAUUUUAUUUUUUAGAGUCUUAAUUAUGUUUAAUGAAAAAAAUUAAAUUUGAUUUCGUCAAAUAAGCAUCAGUUUAACACCCAAUUGUUUUAUUUAAAUAUUUCAAAAAACCCUUGUGGAGUUAAGUGAGACAAAUCAUAUACCCUAACCUAAAAUUAGCUAAACAUGGAAUCAUCAAGGUGAGAAAAAAAAAAAAACAAAUUAAGUGGCAAAAUAAAACAGAGCAAAUACUAUGCGAAUCCAUAUUCCGUCUCAUAUUUUACUCACAAUGAAAGGUUGAUGUCUUUUAUUUUUAAAAUUUAAUGAAAAUUUAUAAUAUACUAUAAUUUAUAAUUAUAAUUCAUGUAACAUAAUUUAAAUGAGCACAUUCAUUUGAUCCUCGAAAAAAAUUUAUGCCGAACGGAGCAUAAUUGAGCUAACAGAGCCCAUGAUUAAAUUUGAUCACGGCUCAUGUGAAAGUUUCCGAUGAAUGUUUGGCAAUGAAUAACGGGCUGGAAAAUUUAAAUUUUUUUAAAAGUAAUUUUAAAACAUAAACACAAUCUUUUUUUUAGUUUAUUAUUGGUUGUGUCUAUUUUAGAACCUAUUUGAUAUUAUAAUAAUAAUUAUGUUUUAAAUUAUUUUUUAUUUAAAAAUAUAUCAAAAUAAUAUUUAUUUAUUUAUUUAUUUUUAACACAAACACAUUAAAAUGAUUUAAAAAAAAUUAAAAUAAAGAAAAAAAAUUAAAAAUUUUUGAAAAGCAAUUGUAGUUAUUCAUUAAUGAUUGUAAUUCUAGGUAAAUUUUGUUGGGUGUAAUCGAUUGAUUUGAGGUCAAGUUGUUUAAUUCACAAUCUAACUAAUGGAUUUGGGUUUUCAGUAACUUUCUAUUGGCCGUUGAUCUUCUUGCAAAAAAACUACCCUUCAUUUAAAAGACAGCAUACUUUCUGCAGGUCCAUGCAGAGCAGCGAUACAACCUUGCUCGAAACGCAUGAAUGAACCCUGUAAGAACAGUACUGUCCACCUAAUAUAUAUUUGGUUAAUAUCAUCUUAAUUAUAAUUGUAAGCAGCAACAUUGGCAAGCAUUUUCUAAAGCUAGCUUCCAGGAUUCAACUUCCUUGCCUUCUCUUUUUCUGCCUUUUUUUUUUUCUGGAGGAAAAGAAGAGUACUGAGCUGUAACUUCCUUAAUUCAUAAAUGUUUGUCUCCUUGCUUUCGGGAAAGAGAAGCUUUGUGUCACCUUUUACUGUUCUGUUAUUUUAAAACAUUUGAAAAAAGAAAGAGGUUUGGACUCUGUGAAUCCACAACGCAAAUGUAUCUGAACGAACGAACAGUGAACUCAGCACUGUUGAAGAUCAGUCAAGAAUUUUCUAGAAUUCCUUAGAUGUUAAGGAAAUAUUUGCUGGUGUGGAAAGAAAAGCAUGUCAAAAGUCAUUUAUCUGCAAUUUCGUGCUUUGUUUGAGAUUUUUAUUUUUAACUGCGUUUUAAAAAUUGUAUUUGUUUUAAAAAUAUAUUAAAUAUAUUUUUUAAUGUUUUUAAUAAUUUUCAUACGCUAGUAUAAAAAAUCUAAAAAAAUUAAAAAUUAUUUUAAUAUAUUAUUUUAAAAGCACCUUCAUAUAGAAAAACAAAAUGUGUUAAAACACUCUCAUCACAGAAUAUAUCUUGCUGUAAUGAUUAAAGCAAGAUGCAUUACUUAGUAAUGAAGAGUAUGAUUUAUCCUGUUUAGAAUUAAGGUUGAUAUUUUUAUUUUUAAAAAAAUUAUUUAUUUUUAUUUUAAAUUAAUUUAUUUUUAUGUUUUUAAAUAGUUUUAAUAUUAUAAUAUCAAAAAUAAAUUUUAAAAAAAUAUUAUUUUAAUAUAACAGUGAAAAAGUGUAGGCUUCCAAACCGACAAAGCAACCUCUAUAUACACUCUUCUUAUGUGAGUGUGAGAUACCAUUAACUAUGGUGUGGUUUUCAUGUAUCACCACUAAAUAAAUACUACUGUGUUUUAUUUACUCACCAUUGUUGCCCAGAGUCCAUAGCCAACAAUUCGUAUCAGAGCUGUUGCCCAAAAUUUGUACCCACAGUUACCACCUCUUGACUCGCUUGAACACCAUUUCAUCUCAAUCCAUGGCAACCAUUAGCUUGAAGGCAUCUGUGGACAAGAAGAGCAACAGAGUUGUAUUUGUUGAAUCUGACGAGUUCUUUGUUGACAUCCUUUUCAGCUUUUUGACAAUGCCCAUGGGAACAAUCAUCCAUCUCAUCAGUAAUCUUUCACCGACAAAUAGGAUUGGUUGCAUGAAGAACUUAUAUAAAAGUGUUGAAAAUAUAGAUGUUAGGUAUUUCCGGACUGAAGCAUGCAAGGACAUGUUGCUGCAUCCUCACAAUGCCGCUGCAGCUUAUUGUAAGAGCCUAAAACUGAAAAUUGAUGACAUUGAUACUUCAAGUUUCUUUUGUUGCGACAAUUCCAAUUGUACUUAUUCUGGCUACAAGUUGUUGGGUCAUUACAAAAAUCUUUAUUGUGGCAUGUGGACGUCCCAUGAACCGUAUCAUGAAUCUACCAUGCCCGGCUCCAUCAAAUAGUGGAUCUGACGAAAGAAAUCAAGGAGUGUUUGUCCAAGAACUGGCCCGAUUUGUUGUAAGUGACUAUUUUCAAGUGAUGCCAGCAUCAACUUCAGCAAGCAUUUCUCUUCUUACAAAGCUUGGAGUCAUGUGUACAAGUAACAUCGAGGAGAGGAUUUUUGACAUUGGAGUAACACAGGUAUGAUCUAAUAUAUGAGCUGUUGCAGUAUUGUCUAGCCUUGUGCUACGUACAGGUACCCAUUUUAAUGUCUUUGUUUUAGGUCUUGGAGUUGCUGGAGUGCUCAUUGGUAUCAAGGACACCUCUGACCGAAGUUUUGCUUGCUCGUAAGGAAGUUCCCGAGUUAAGAAAUGAAGAUUCCCUUCAAAGAACCUCUCUUAUGCGUGAAAUACCAGAGCACCAAUCAGAAAUAAAUGGUGAGACGUCUGUUAGGCUUGUGGUUUGCAAAUCCAAGAAAGUGGUAUGUUACGCAGAAGCGUCUAAAGAUUUUGUUGAUUUACUUUUUAGUUUUCUCACCAUUCCACUUGGGUAUUUGAUGAAUGAAAUGCAUGGUGGACAAUCAAAAGGAAGCAUCCACCACCUAUAUGACAGCGUCAUUGAUCUCGAUGCUACGAAAUACCUGAAGUCGAAUGACAUUAAAGAGAUUCUUCUAAAUCCUAAGAUUGCACCUGGUUCUGGCUAUAAGAACCAGCCACUAGGUGUUAAGGAAGCUGUUGAUAACCAGCAGUACUACUAUGAUCCGUAUUCUUCCAAGCCAAUAAGAACUGAAAGCAUCUGUUCUACACUCCCACUUUUAACUAUGAUGGAUCCCAAAUCACCCUACAAAGAGGGCACAGAAGGUGAUGGAUUUUUGCUAGAUCCUGCAAUGUUCACCGUAAGUGACGAUCGAUCUUGUUGUUACACCAAUAUCGCCUGUCUCAGAACUAUAUUUACUGGAAAAAUUGAAGAUACCUUUGAAUGACAUCCAUGUCUGCGAGGUUCAAGUUGGCAGAGAAGAGGUAAGUCAAACUAACUAAUUUCUGCACUCUCUUAUUAGCCAUGAUAUUUAAUAUUUAAUUAUAAAGCUCUUAAGAAAAAUCAUGCCUGUCAACUUCAUGCUUAUGUCUUAGUUAAUUUUGUCUUGAUCAGAACUGUAAGUUUAUUUAUUUUUUAUUCUAUUUAUUCAACCAUACAGAAUUAUAGGAUAGAAGUGGCAUAAAAACUAUUUUACCUGUUCUUCUGAGAUCCUUUUUUGUUAAUGGCAUUUGUUAAAAUUCGCAUCAUAACAGACUCUUCAAACAGGAAUAUUGGUGUGAUGGGCAUUUUUUUUUCUGCUGCAGGCUUCCCGUCUCUUAGCAGCUUCUUUUGUAUCUGAAUCUGCUCUUACUGAUACCUUCCUACGUAAGAUGCCAAAAGAUGCCUUAAUUUCCGAUGUUCUGAAAGAAUAAUCUUGAGGACAUCUGUGUGCUUAAUUGAUCAAGUAUAUUUUCUGGUCAUCUUGAACCUGGUUUUUUAUUAAUGUGAUAAGUAGUCUGUCAUGUGUAGGAGUAAUAUUGAUUCUCAAGACUUUCAUGUAAGUCGAAUUAAGGUGCUGCUUUUGC